rnacentral:rRNA from 1 species
AACGAACGCUGGCGGCAGGCUUAACACAUGCAAGUCGAACGCCCCGCAAGGGGAGUGGCAGACGGGUGAGUAACGCGUGGGAAUCUACCCAGUUCUGCGGAACAACAGUUGGAAACGACUGCUAAUACCGCAUACGCCCUACGGGGGAAAGAUUUAUCGGAAUUGGAUGAGCCCGCGUUGGAUUAGCUAGUUGGUGAGGUAAUGGCUCACCAAGGCGACGAUCCAUAGCUGGUCGGAGAGGAUGAUCAGCCACACUGGGACUGAGACACGGCCCAGACUCCUACGGGAGGCAGCAGUGGGGAAUAUUGGACAAUGGGCGCAAGCCUGAUCCAGCCAUGCCGCGUGAGUGAUGAAGGCCUUAGGGUUGUAAAGCUCUUUCAGUGGGGAAGAUAAUGACGGUACCCACAGAAGAAGCCCCGGCUAACUUCGUGCCAGCAGCCGCAGUAACAC